UACGUAGGGUGCGAGCGUUAAUCGGAAUUACUGGGCGUAAAGCGUGCGCAGGCGGUUUUGUAAGCCAGAUGUGAAAGCCCCGGGCUUAACCUGGGAAUGGCAUUUGGGACUGCAAGGCUUGAGUGCGGCAGAGGAGACUGGAAUUCCUGGUGUAGCAGUGAAAUGCGUAGAUAUCAGGAGGAAUACCGAUGGCGAAGGCAACCCCCUGGGACGAUACUGACGCUGAGGCACGAAAGCGUGGGGAGCAAACAGG
rnacentral:rRNA from 1 species